rnacentral:lncRNA from 1 species
ACAGUCAGAACCGAAACCACGAGUGAGAAGGGGCUCUGCUCCCAGUACCCACAGCCACGGGGAGCCACCGACCAGCAUGUCUUACCAUUGUUCACCUGGCCGUGGACCGCAGUGGGGACUGAUGCCACAGGCUGGGUCUAUCCUCCAGAACGAGCCUUUGCCUGGUUCUUCCUGGGAACGCGGCACUUUGAUGAAAUAACGAUUCAGAGAGAGAUUGUGGCGAAUUGAAUUCUAUGAAACAUAAAAAAAUACGUAGAAUUCAUAUAUUUAUUUGCUGAGAAAUAAAAAUGUGUCCUCGUUUUAGUGCCCUAAAAAGCAGAAACCUACAUGUUGGGCCUGGCAGACUGCAAGAGUGAAUUUUUUUUCUUUUGCGUCACACAAGUAAUG